rnacentral:rRNA from 1 species
AAAGGUAAAGCAAAGAAGAGCACAGGGUGGAUGCCUUGGCACUGAGAGCCGAUGAAAGACGUAAUAAGCUGCGAUAAGCCACGGUUAGGAGCAAAUAUCCAGUGACCCGUGGAUUUCUGAAUGGGGAAACCCGGCUGAGAAGACCUCAGUCACUGUUAACUGAAUACAUAGGUUAACAGAGGGAACCUCCUGAACUGAAACAUCUAAGUAGGGAGAGGAAGAGAAAGAAACAUCGAUUUCCUUAGUAGCGGCGAGCGAAAGGGAAAGAGCCCAAACCGGAAUGCGUGCAUUCCGGGGUUCGGACUGUCACAACGUUGAUCUAAUGUAGGAGAAUGGUCUGGGAAGUCCAUCCAGAGAGGGUGAAAGGCCCGUAUCCGAAACGUGAUGAUCAAUAGACAGGAUCCAGAGUAGGUCGAGACACGUGGAACCUUGACUGAAGGAGCGGAGACCACUCCGUAAGGCUAAAUACUACUCAGUGACCGAUAGCGCAUAGUACUGUGAAGGAAAGGUGAAAAGGACCCCGGGAGGGGAGUGAAAGAGAACCUGAAACCCUGUGUUUACAAGCUGUGGAACACCGAUAACUAUACGGUGAACUGCGUACUUUUUGUAGAACGGUCCGGCGAGUUACCGUUAGAGGCGAGGUUAAGUUCUUAAGGAACGGAGCCGAAGUGAAAGCAAGCGUUAAUAGCGCGUCAAGUCUCAGGCGGUAGACCCGAAACCGGGUGACCUACCCAUGUCCAGGAUGAAGUUGCCGUAAAAGGCAAUGGAGGUCCGAACACACAUCCGUUGAAAAGGGUGGUGAUGAGGUGUGGGUAGCGGAGAAAUUCCAAUCGAACCCGGAGAUAGCUGGUUCUCCUCGAAAUAGCUUUAGGGCUAGCCUCAGGUUAAAGUCUUGCGGAGGUAGAGCACUGAAUAUCUGCGGGGGCGUCAAAGCCUACCAAUGAUUAUCAAACUCCGAAUGCCGUGUAGAUGAUACCUGGGAGUCAGACUAUCCGAGAUAAGUUGGGUGGUCAAAAGGGAAAGAGCCCAGAUCUACAGCUAAGGUCCCAAAGUACGUGUUAAGUGGAAAAGGAUGUGGGAUUUCAUAGACAACUAGGAUGUUGGCUCAGAAGCAGCCACACAUUCAAAGAGUGCGUAAUAGCUCACUAGUCGAGAGGUCCUGCGCCGAAAAUUUCCGGGGCUAAAACACGACACCGAAGCUUAGGGAUUGCACCCGUUGCAAUCGGUAGAGGAGCAUUGUCAUAGAGACGAAGCGGUACUGUAAGGAGCCGUGGAUUUAUGAGAAGAGAGAAUGCCGGAAUGAGUAGCGAGAUUUAAGUAAGAAUCUUAAAGGCCGAAUAUCUAAGGUUUCCAGGGUAAAGCUGAUCUUCCCUGGGUAAGUCGGGGCCUAAGGCGAGGGCGAAAGCCGUAGUCGAUGGAUAACAGGUUGAAAUUCCUGUACUGCUGUAUAACAGAACUGUGGGGACACAGACAGAGAGCACAACCCGGGAGUGGAAAAACCGGGACAAGCGAGGUAGGAGAUGA